UGAACAUUCAGCCUUUCUAUAUUAACUAGCAUAUCCUUGGAAUUUUGCAUCAUAAUCUCUUAGCUAAAACUUGUGACCGUGUGAAGUUACUGUCUAUCUUGACAACUUUUAUGAUGAACUUGUGAAACAAAUCCAAUUGAGCAAAGACUUUUGAUGUUGUGUGAUAAGCUUAUUCUGAACAUGAUAGACACAUAGUUAAUAUUGUGUGUAUUUGAGUUACCUAUAUUAUUAAUUAAUGUACCUAACCUCUAUAUUAUUUCCUUAUUGCAGUUAUAUGGAGUCAAACUAAAUUAAGAGAAGAAUUUGAAAUUGAGUUCUAUUGUGUAUGUGCCUUCUUAGACCUCGUUUAUGUAAGCAGCUUGCUUUGGGAUGUCUUGUCUGAAAUUUUGGUUAAAUUGAUUGUGUGCAUUGUGAUGGAAAUCGUUACCAGCAUUUACCCAACUUUCACCUCAUUUGUGUUGGCAUUAGCUUUCCUAUUGUAAAUCCUCUCUCUGAUCAUUUUGUGUUCUUGACAUAUUUGCUAUGGCUGAUUUUUUAUCUCCCGUUUCUGUAUUGGAGUGUUUGCCUGUGUCUGUCCCCCAUUUUCAUCCAAUUUUUUUCACACUUUUCAAGCAUUUGAUGCCCCCAAGCAAGAAAGCAUACAAUUCAUUUUGACUAUAACUCCUUCCACAUACCGUGAAUUAUUGAAGUGAUAUUUACCAUGUUUUGUAGUUCCCAUUAAUGCCCUCCAAUUUGUAAUAGAUGGCUGGCAGGUAUUACAUUUCCAAUUAGAAUUUGAGGGCAAAAUAGGCAGAUUAGGC
rnacentral:lncRNA from 1 species